rnacentral:rRNA from 1 species
CGGGACGGGUGAGUAACGCGUGGGUAACCUGCAUCAUACAGGGGGAUAACAGUUAGAAAUGACUGCUAAUACCGCAUAAGCGCACAGUACCACAUGGUACGGUGUGAAAAACUCCGGUGGUAUGAGAUGGACCCGCGUCUGAUUAGCUGGUUGGUGGGGUAACGGCCCACCAAGGCGACGAUCAGUAGCCGACCUGAGAGGGUGAUCGGCCACAUUGGGACUGAGACACGGCCCAA